CCUACGGGAGGCAGCAGUGAGGAAUAUUGGUCAAUGGACGAGAGUCUGAACCAGCCAAGUAGCGUGAAGGAUGACUGCCCUAUGGGUUGUAAACCUCUUUUAUAUGGGAAUAAAAUGUUCCACGUGUGGGAUUUUGUAUGUACCAUAUGAAUAAGGAUCGGCUAACUCCGUGCCAGCAGCCGCGGUAAUACGGAGGAUCCGAGCGUUAUCCGGAUUUAUUGGGGUUAAAGGGAGCGUAGGUGGAUUGUUAAGUCAGUUGUGAAAGUUUGCGGCUCAACCGUAGAAUUGCAGUUGAAACUGGGAGUCUUGAGUACAGUAGAGGUAGGCGGAAUGCGUGGUGUAGCGGUGAAAUGCUUAGAUAUCACGAAGAACUCCGAUUGCGAAGGCAGCUCACUGGACUGCAACUGACACUGAGGCUCGAAAGUGUGGGUAUCAAACAGGAUUAGAUACCCCUGUAGUC
rnacentral:rRNA from 1 species